GACGGGAGGUGCAAGCGUUGCUCGGAAUCACUGGGCGUAAAGGGUGCGUAGGCGGCCGUGCAAGUCUGGCGUGAAAGCCCCGGGCUCAGCCCGGGAAGUGCGCUCGAAACUGCGCGGCUCGAGUGCCGGAGGGGAGAGUGGAAUUCCUGGUGUAGCGGUGAAAUGCGUAGAUAUCUGGAGGAAUACCGGUGGCGAAGGCGGCAGUCCUGGACCGGUAUUGACGCUGACUGCGCGAAAGCCAGGGGAGCAAG
rnacentral:rRNA from 1 species